GAAUGCGAUCAUCAUACCAGCACUAAUGCACAUAUUACAUCAAAACUUUGGAUUUAAACAUAUUUGGACGAGAAUAAUACUUAAAUGGGUGAUCUUCAGAAAGUUCAUGUAUUGCAUUCU
rfam:Arabidopsis thaliana chromosome 3, complete sequence.